GGCUGGGUCUGGCUUGGCUGCAGCAUUUCUCUCUGCAUCCCCAGGUAUCUGGAGUGUCUUGGUCGAUGGGAGAAACGCACAGAGCCAAGUCCAGUCUCCUGACUGAAACCUCAAGGAGCUGGGGAAGAACUGGAGCUGGACACCUGAGCUCUGGCCACCAGGGACUCCAGGAUCCAUUUUAAUGGAAGGGAGAGGACCUGAGCUGGGCGGAGGCAGCCCUUCAGAGGGUCAUGCUGGAAGCCAGUUCAGCAGCACCAGGGCAAAGGAAUGAGCAGGGCUAGGCUGGAUUCCUCUCUGCUCGCCUAGCCUGGCUCUCUUCCCUUCCGCUCCUGGCCAGGGCCUGCUGGCAGGAUGCUGGGGCUCGCUGCGCAGGUGGAAAGCACAGGGUGCUAAGCUUUGCUGGGGAAAAGCGAGCAGCAAGAUGAGAUCCCAGGAGGGCUGAAAACAGGUGGGAGACCCUUAGCCAGGGCACAGCCCCAUCUGCAAUCCCAUGGCCUUUCUGGACCAGUGGGCAUCACUGACCCAAGCACAAUCCAGCAAGACAGAGACAAGGAUGCGAAAUUCAGUGCAGCUGAGCAGCAGGAUGGCCAGUGUAAUCCAGCAGCAUCGGGAAGUGUAAAUGCCCUUGGAGCAUGGACUUGUCCUCUGGGACUUGGCAGCUGGUGAAGGAGCCAGCCAGAAUGUGAGUCUGUGGACUGGGAUUGCUCCCUCUCCACUGGCUAAUUCUCUCUGAUUACUCUAGGGGACCCAGAAUAGGAUGGAUGAUGGACCUGUGAGGGGAGGUGCCGUGGGCGUCGACACCAGUCUCCAUGGAGCCUUCACUCCCUACACAGUGGGCAUGGAAUUCCUCCAGGCCAGGAAGACUGCUCCAUACAUCCCAGAGCACCAUGCAUCCCAAUUCCACCCUGGACACCAAGACCAGGGAUGUGGCCUCAGAAUCCAUUGGGCUCUUCUUCAUGCUCUUGGUUGACCUGAUGGCCAUAGUGGGCAAUGUGGCUGUGAUGACCGUCAUCAUCAAGACACCAGCACUGAGGAAGUUUGUCUUUGUUUUUCACCUCUGUCUGGUGGACCUCUUGGCAGCCCUGACCCUCAUGCCUUUGGCCAUACUGUCAAGCUCCGCCUUCUUCAACAGCACCAUCUUCGGUGAGGCCAUGUGCCGUGUCUACCUCUUCCUGAGCGUCUGCUUCAUCAGCAUGUGCAUCCUCUCCAUCUCGGCCAUUAACGUGGAGCGCUACUACUAUGUGGUGCACCCCAUGCGCUAUGAGGUCAAGAUGACUGUUGGCCUGGUGGUCUGUGUCCUGGUGGGGGUGUGGAUCAAGGCAGUGGUCAUGUCCGUCAUCCCUGUCCUGGGCUGGCUCUCCCUGGAUCGUUUCAAUGCCUCCCCAGCCUACAGCAGCAGGAGCUGCUCACUGCAAUGGAGCCAGAGCUCCUACUGCAAAUUCUUUGUGGUUUUCUUUGCCAUCUUCUAUUUCCUCCUGCCCGUCCUGAUCAUCCUAGUGGUCUACUGUAGCAUGUUCAAGGUGGCCAGGGUGGCUGCCAUGCACCAUGGCCCACUCCCCACCUGGAUGGAUACGCCGCGGCAGCGAUCAGAAUCCCUCAGUAGCAGGUCCACCAUGGUGACCAGCUCGGGUGCCCCUCAGACUACCCCUCAGAGGACGUUUGGGGGUGGGAAGGCUGCUAUCAUUCUUCUAGCAGUUGGAGGGCAGUUCCUCUUCUGCUGGAUGCCCUAUUUCUCCUUCCAUCUCUAUUCAGCGCUGAGCUCUCAGUCCUUCCCUGGCCGGCAGGUGGAGAGUGUAGUCACCUGGAUUGGCUACUUUUGCUUCACUUCCAACCCUUUCUUCUAUGGGUGCCUCAACCGGCAGAUCCGUGGGGAGCUCAGCAGGCACCUCACAUGCUUCUUCAAGCAGCCGCCAGAAGAGGACCUCCGGCUGCCCAGCCGCGAAGGGUCCAUCGAGGAGAAUUUCUUGCAGUUCCUGCAGGGGACUGGCUGCAACACAGAAAGCAGUAAUGUUCUUGCCCACCCCUCUCCCAAAAGGGAGCCGCUCGGCAUCGAUUUCCGAAUCCCUGGGCAGAUUGCAGAGGAGACCUCAGAGUUCCUUGACCAGCACAUCACGGUCUCCGACAGCUACAUCCGGGCCGUGCCUAAGCCCGAGCUGUAGCAAACCUUUGCACUUGACAACCUAGUCUUUCUGAUGUGUGGAAUAAUGCAGAACCCAGCUGUUGACAGGGCAUGAUUUCCUAAUAAACACAACCGUGGCGACUGACGCGUCCUCCCUCCACCUGAGCGCCCACACUGACAAGCAGCUGGUUCUGAACCGCCACCUCUGGUCUGUCUGCCCGUGGCAGAGGGGACUCUAAUGCAAGGAGCCCAUGUGACGUGAGUGGGGCAGCCACAGGACUAAGUCAUCCCCGCUGGUUGGCCCCCUCAUGAGAUCUUUGAUCACUGACAGAGACUUAGGAACCGUGAUCAGAGCCAGGCUGAACCUGAGCCUUCGCCUGUCACACGGCCCAAGCUAGGGGCGAGUGGGAUCCAAGCUGCAUUUAUCCAAACACCUUUUCUGCCUGGAUCUGACCCUGCCCCUUUCUGUCAAACAAAACUGGGGGAGAAGAGUUGGGAUCUGGCAAGACCUCAGUGGUCAAGCUUUGGGCUUACCGGACAAGGGAGUGGUUCCGAUCCCGGUCCUAUUUAUUUGACCCUCCCCCACCCCCAGGCAGUUCAGUGCAGGGUGAUGGGGCCGGGGGAGAGGGGUUCUGGUUUUGUCUCAUCUCUGCUUUCGAGAGCUGGAGAGGAGAAUGGCAUUCACAUCUCUGUCCGUGAACAAAGAUCUGCUCAGCCAAGCAGCCUCAGCCUGCUGGGAUCUCUGGCAAAAUUGCCCUGGGGCAUGGACAGAAUGGGGAUAGGGCCCCAUGUAAUCAGUGAGCCUUUCCCAGCUGGGCUGGAGAAUGGGAAAUAGCCAGGAGAAGAGGCCCAGCCACCUUUGCCAUGGGAUUAUGCACUAACCUCAGCUGCAGGGUAUCCUGAUCUCAGAGCCUGCAGAGGCUCGCUCUGGCUGGGAGGGCUCUCUCCAGGUGGGUCCUGCGCGCCAAGCUGGCAAGCCAGCAC